GCACAAAGAUUAAAUGACUUUAACUCACAGAUUUGAUGCGUUCCACAGUCCGCUCCUACGCCUCGGGUGGAGCUGGCGGGAAGGCUGAAUUAUCUAAUAACAAAAGACAUACAAUUAAUAGACAUUCGAAAAUUUUUCCUAGACUUAGACCCUAAGGUCGACUGCCUAGAAUUAAAUUGGACUCGAGGAUUCUGCCGAAAAUUUGACAGAACCUCCCCUAAAUAACGGAUAUUUACCCCCCGUAAAACGGGUCCAGGACCUGCCAAAAACAUAUCAAACAUGUUGGAAUUUAAUAACAGGAGCCGGGCCACAAGAACUGCAUUAAUAUUUUUCCGACUCCAAAACACCACAAUCCAAAUAAUUUAAUUUGGUUUAUUUUUUAACUACCCAACACAAGCAAUUAAUAGCCUCAAUAACUUUCUAAUAUUAUAACAAAAUUUUUCAGAGUCUAAUAAAAUUAUACCGAGUUAAAAAUUAAAAUAUUCCGCGCGUCCAGAAAACACUGGGGUCCGGAAGCCGGUCCUGCCAACAGUGUCGGAAUUCAAAUUCGGAAGCGCCUACGCGAAGCUCAAGUUGCGGGGAGUCCGGAAGUACAAGAGUUUUGGCCGGAAAGUGGCCGGAAGGAGGCCGAAUCGACGAUGGCAGCCUCUUCGUCAUUCGUCGGUGUCGCGUGGAAAGGAAGGAGAAGGGGAAGGCGCUGCUGAACGGCGGCGGCGAGCUGGGCGGCACGUAGGCAGUGUGGGGGAGAAGGCAGUCGACGGGGAGAUGGAGAAGGAAGGGAGGAAGGAAAAGGAGGAGGGGGAGGGGAAGGAAAGAAAAAGGGGAAGAAAAAUCCCUUAUUUUUAUUAUUAUUAUUAUUAUUAUUUUAAAAUAUAUAUAUAUAUAUAUAUAUAGAGUUAUUAUUAUUACAACUAAGGGUGUUACAUUCUACCCCCCUUAGAAAAAAAAAAUUCGACCUCGAAUUUUAAACCAUGGCCCACUUAGGAUUGAAAUAAAUGAGGGUAAAGGCUUCUCAUUUCCUGCUCGGUUUCCCAGGUACGCUCUUUAGACAUAUGAUUUCGCCACGAAACCUUGACCAUCGGAAAAAUUUUUGAGCGCAGCUGGCGAACUUGAGUAUCCACAAUCCUGACUGGCUGCUCCUCGUAAGUCAAAUCUUCACCAACUUCCACAUGUUGCGGUUGUAACACAUGCGAAGGGUCUGAAAUAUACUUUCUUAACAUCGAUAUGUGGAAUACCGGAUGCACGUGCGAGAAGUUCGGUGGCAAGUCUAGUUUGUAUGCCACAUCUCCAAUUCUGCCAAUAAUCUCAAAGGGUCCCACAUAACGAGGUGCCAAUUUUCCCUUCUUGCCGAACCGCAACACACCACGCAUAGGAGACACCUUCAGAUACAUAUUCCCCAACACUGAAUUCCACGUGCUUCCGCUUUGGAUCCUCAUAACUUUUCUGCCUACUAAAAGCUGUCUUCAGUCGCUCGCGAAUAACCGGAAUCUUUUCUGAAGUGAUUUGAACCAAUUCUGGUCCUGCUAACUUCCGUUCACCAACUUCUUCCCAACAUACGGGGGAUCUACACUUUCGACCAUACAAGGCCUCGAAAGGUGCCAUUUUGAUACUUGCAUGAUAGCUGUUAUUAUACGCAAAUUCGAUCAACGGUAGAUACCAAUCCCAUUGACCACCAAAGUCUAUCACGCACAUCCGAAGCAUAUCCUCUAAAGUCUGAAUAGUCCUUUCUGAUUGUCCGUCCGUCUGAGGAUGGAAGGCCGUACUGAAGUCCAACCUGGUACCAAGUUCCUCUUACAACUUUUUCCAAAACCUUGAAGUAAAUUGCGGCCCCCUGUCAGACACUAUAGAAACUGGGACGCCGUGAAGACUGACAAUCCUUUCCAGAUACACUUUUGCAUACUUAGCUACAGAGUAGGUAGUCUUUACCGGAAGGAAAUGCGCUGACUUAGUCAAUCGAUCCACAAUUACCCAGAUGGAGUCAUAACCAGCAGAAGUCUUGGGUAAACCUGAUACAAAAUCCAUAGUAAUCCUUUUCCAUUUCCACUCUGGUAUAGGAAGCGGCUGCAGUAAACCAGACGGCUUCUGAUGCUCCAAUUUAACCUGCUGACACGUCAGACAUGUGGAGACAAACUCUGCUACAUCCCUCUUCAUCCCGCUCCACCAAUAAUUUCUUUUCAAAUCAUGGUACAUCUUUGUGGAGCCCGGAUGCACGUUGUAAGCUGUACAAUGAGCUUCUUCCAAAAUCUCCUUUCUGAGAUUAUCCACAUCGGGAACACAUAGCCUAGAGCCCAUCAUGAGGGUGCCAUCACCAUUCAUAAUAAAAUCAUUAGCUCGACACUGCUGCAUUUCUUCUAAGAUUUCCUGCAACUGCGGGUCUCGAUUCUGAGCGAUCCUGAUUCUAUCGACAAGCACAGACCUAACCCUGAAAUGUGCUAACAACACACCCGAUUCUAAUAUUUCCACCUGAAACCCUUGAUCAUACAGUUCAUGCAACCCUUUAGCCAGCGGUCUCUUCUCUACAUUGAUAUGAGCAAGACUACCUACCGAUUUCCUGCUCAAAGCAUCUGCGACGACAUUCGCCUUACCUGGGUGGUAGAGAAUAUAACAAUCAUAGUCCUUCAGAAGCUCUAACCACCUUCUCUGCCUCAGGUUCAAAUCCUUCUGUUGGAAAAUAUACUUUAAGCUUUUAUGAUCCGUAUAAAUCUCGCACGUCUCUCCAUAGAGAUAGUGCCUCCAAAUCUUUAAUGCAAAAAUUACUGCUGCCAUCUCCAAAUCGUGGGUCGGGUAAUUUUGUUCAUGCUUCUUCAAUUGCCUGGACGCAUAAGCUAUUACCUUUCCAUUUUGCAUUAGAACACAACCCAAACCCACUCUAGAAGCGUCGCAAUACACCGUGAAUCCACCAGUGCCAGAAGGUAAGGUCAACACCGGAGCUGAAGUCAAACAGUCUUUCAACCUUUGAAAGCUUCUCUCACACGCAUCAGUCCACUGAAACCUGGCAUUUUUCUGAGUCAGCUUAGUCAAAGGCGCUGCUAUCCUCGAAAAGUCUUGCACAAAUCGACGGUAGUAGCCUGCCAACCGUAGAAAGCUACGCACUUCAGUCACUGAAGUUGGCCUCUGCCAUUCAGUCACUGCCUCCACUUUCUUAGGGUCCACUUGAAUACCCUCUUUAGACACUAUGUGCCCUAGAAAAGCAACGCUUUCCAACCAGAACUCGCACUUGGAGAACUUAGCGUAUAAUUGAUGUUCCCUCAAAGUCUGAAGUACUAUUCUCAAGUGCCACGCGUGCUCCUCUUCGCUUUUGGAAUAAACCAAGAUAUCAUCAAUGAAUACGAUGACAAAACGAUCCAGAAAUUCCUUGAACACUCGAUUCAUCAAAUCCAUAAAAGCCGCAGGGGCAUUAGUGAGUCCAAACGACAUCACCAGAAACUCAUAAUGCCUAUAACGCGUCCUGAACGCCGUCUUUGGCACAUCUUCACCACGGAUCCUUAACUGGUGAUACCCCGAUCGUAGAUCAAUCUUGGAGAAAUACACCGCUCCUUGAAGCUGAUCGAAUAGGUCAUCGAUGCGAGGAAGCAGAUACCGGUUACGAAUCGUCGCCUUAUUCAGUUGCCGGUAAUCGAUGCAGAGAUGCAAGGUACCAUCCUUCUUCUUUACGAACAGAACAGGCGCACCCCAAGGAGACGUACUAGGUCUAAUGAAACCCUUAUCUAGGAGGUCUUGCAACUGCUCCUUUAGCUCUCUUAACUCGGCCGGUGCCAUUCGAUAGGGCGGCAAAGAAAUAGGUGUUGUACCCGGUAUCACGUCGAUACAGAAUUCUAUCUCUCUAUUGGGCGGCAAUCCAGGUAGUUCUUCUGGAAACACAUCAGGAAACUCGCAAACCACCGGAACGUCUUUGACACAACCUUUCCUUGCAGAGGUAUCCCUAACCAAAGCCAAAUAUCCCCGGCAUCCGCGGCGAAGCAUCUGCCUAGCUGUAAUCGCCGACACGAGAUUCGUGGGAGAAGGUAUCUGCUCACCUUUAAAAUAGAACUCUGAGUCUCCAGGAAUUCAAAAAGUCACUUGUUUCUCCCGGCAGUCCAACAUGGUGAAAUGCAAAGCUAACCAAUCCAUUCCCAAAAUCACAUCAAAAUCCAUCACAUCUAAAAGAAUUAGGUCAGCAACCAAAUCUCGACCCUCAACAGACACCGAACACGACGGAUACACGACAUCGGUCUCUAAGGCCUCACUUAACGGCGCAGUGACCGACAUCGGGACUGGAAGCCUAACGGGCUGGACAUCCAAUCUUAAGGCAAAACUAGGCGAUACGAAAGAAUGGGUAGCCCCAGGGUCUAACAAAACUCUAGCUUCAGAAUGACAAACAAGAAUAGUACCUGACACCACGGCAUUUGAGGCUCGCGCAUCUUGAGGAGUGAGGGUGAACACUCUCGCUUGCCCUCGGCCUGACUGUUGAGACCUUGAAGCUCGACCUUGAACCCUGCCCCAGACCGGCCUCCUGAAGAUCUACCUCCAAAACUACGGCCCUGCUGGCCAACAAACUGAGAUCCAUCUUGAAAAUGUCCCGGGGCUGCAGGAAAAGCUGGUCGGGUCGCACUAGUGGACGAGCCUUGUGGAAAAGCUGGUCGACUGAAGUAGCGAGGACACUCUCGAGCCAUAUGUCCCAUCUCACCACACCUAAAAUAGGCUCCACUGGAUGUUAGGCACGGUCCCUGAUGUGACCUGCCACACAUCCGACAAGUGCUGGCCCCAGAACUAGUGCUGCUGAAACCCGAACUCUGCCCACUACCACUGAAGCCCUGACCAGGUAUGAAUCCUCGGCUACUCCUCCGAUUAUGCCUACCCUUUCUGUGGAUGCGGUGACUUCUCUGCCCGACCUGCUGGUCGGUACCGCCGGAGUAACUUCCACUACCAUAGUACGGCACGACAGGCUGCGCACUGGACUGACCCACAACCCUGGUUUUCUUCUUCCUACCAUCGUCAGUCCCUUGACUAAACCCUCGUAGCGUCAUCUCCAUCUGCCUCGCCAUGUCAGUAACUUCUAGGAAGCUGCUCCUCCUAGAUUGAACCAAAGAAACAAACUCUGGGCCGAGCCCUGAAAUGUAUUUGUUGUUCUUCUGCUCCUCAGUCCCCACAGCAUAUGGUGCAUACCUACUCAGCUGAACAAAUUGCCUGGUGUACUCAGCCACAGAUGAUUCUCCCUUGACUAACCUUUCAAACCUCUCCCUAUACUCCUGCCUUACACUGAAAGGGAUGAAGUACUCUUCGAAUCUGUCUCUGAAUUGCCUCCACGACAACCCAUCCAGAAAAGGGCGGAUAUAAUCUUUAAACCACUGGGAUGCUAUUCCCUUCAAGGAAAACCCGGCCAUCUCGAUGGUCCUCUUGUCAGAACAGUGCAAAUCAGACGCCUUCUUUUCAACCUCAUCCAAAAAGUCUAGAGGGUCUCCAGCUGUCCCAUCAAACUCCACAGGUCUUAACUUGGUAUUCUCAGACAUAGGGACAUCGUCCGGAUUCCUGAUACCGGACCCACUAGCACGGCUUCCUGCACCCUAAGCAGCCUGCUGCUGCUGAAAGGCUAGCAACUGCUCUAAGGCCCUCUCCAUCCCAGUCAUACUGGACACAAAAGCCUCCACUGGGAUUUCACCAGCACCAUGUACCUCCUGAGCCUCGCCCUGAUCUGGUUGGGCUGCUGCUCGAGGCCUACCUCGCCUUCUGGUACCAUGGGUUGGGUUCGGAGGAGCUGUAUGAGCAGAAAACUCAUCUUCGCCUUCCUGGGCCGAUGCUGCAGCUGCAGUCGCUCGGGUUCUCGGCAUUGGCAAGAGCUGAAAAUGAACAACAAGCUAUUAACCCAACAGACUCUCUAACGUAUAGCGCAGAUACUAGAAUCAACGAAACAUGCAAGGACAGACUCAAUUUUUCCUAGUUUCCGCAGUAGUUAGAAAGCUAACCUGGGUCGAAGGAAAAAAAAAACUAAACCUGGGCUCUGAUACCAACUUUGUCACGACCCACUAUGUGGGCCCGUGAUCGGCACUAGGGAAUGGGUAGACUUAAGGCCACCAAAACCCGUAGUAAGCCUUACCAAACCGCAAAUCCAUAUAUACAAUUAAUCAAAUAUAAUGUAGUCAUAAUUGUCUAGCAUAAUAAAUCAUUAUAUUACCAACAUGAGUCAGAAUUGCUAUAUAAAUUUUAAAUUUCCUACUGCGGAUAAUCUAGAGUAAUAAUGACAAGUAUAGAAGUACAAGAUAAUUACAAAAGUCCGAAGAAGAAGAAGUCGGACUGUCAAAUGUGCGAAGGCGAAGGUCUUUAACUGUCACCUGAAAAAUUUACAACUGAGACUGUCAGUCUCGGGAGUGAGUUAAAAUCAAGUAAUCUAAGGACUAUUGCAACCUUUACAUGAUAUAAUAAUUAUUUUAAACAAUAUACCAAUUUCUGAACAUAAUUACAAUCAUAAUACAUAGUCAUACCCCAUAAUAAUAAAAUGAUAGAAAGGAGAGAGAGUAAAUAAAUAAAGACAUCUUUACUUUCACGAUUUCAAAUCAAUCCGUCAACCAUGCACGUAAAUACAAUCCAUAUUAUAAUCAUACCAUAAUAAAUAAAUAAAUAAAAUAAAAUAAAUAAAAAAUAUAUAUAUAUAUAUAUAUAUUUUUACUUUUACGGAACAAGUGGCUCAGUAGAACCCUAACUCCAAAUUCUAUCAGCCAUUUUGGCUCUCUUAAUCCAAUAAGACUGGCGCCCAGAGAGCAAUGCUCGACCAGGGACCUUAUCUCCAGUCUGAACACUUGAAUUCCAAAUAAGCCGGCGCCCAGAGAGCAAUGCUCGACCAGGGACCUUACCUCCGACAAUUUACUCAAAUCAGCCUAGAGAGCCAUGCUCGACCAGGGCAAACCCAUAAAUAUCUUAUUACAUGUCCACGAUCAUUACCGGUGCGCACGCGGUCCUGAUGUAACCCAUCAGGCGGCAUGUUCUACAAGCCACAUUUCCCAAUUCUCAAUCAUCACAUAUAAUAAAUAUCAUUAUCUGAUGAACUCAACCAACACAUAUCGAAAUAAAGAUUAAAGAUUUAAGGUAAAACAACGUGCAAUUUGUGAGGAAAAAAAUAAUAACGUUUAUCUUAUUAUAACAUACUAAUAAUAAUAUUUAUAUUAUUUCAAAUAUUAAUAAUCAAGUGAAAUCAUUUAUUUUGCGAUACUAAUAAUCAUAUUAAGCACAAAGAUUAAAUGACUUUAACUCACAGAUUUGAUGCGUUCCACAGUCCGCUCCUACGCCUCGGGUGGAGCUGGCGGGAAGGCUGAAUUAUCUAAUAACAAAAGACAUACAAUUAAUAGACAUUCGAAAAUUUUUCCUAGACUUAGACCCUAAGGUCGACUGCCUAGAAUUAAAUUGGACUCGAGGAUUCUGCCGAAAAUUUGACAGAACCUCCCCUAAAU
rnacentral:lncRNA from 1 species